UCCUCUUCUCCUGCAGAGGAGGUUCGUAAACCGUGGUCUCUCUUCGCCCAUCCAUCCCCAUCCGAUUCAAAAUUCUGCGUUUUCCCUUGUCGUCAUUAGCCUGAUUCGAAAUUCUCAAAUAAUGAGUUUAUGCUUUUCUCCGGAGAUUCGUAAACCCUAGCGAGUCCUGGCAUAUCCACUAUAGCGAUUCAUCAUGCCGAAGCACUACUACAGACAUUCGGGAAGGAAGGAAACGCUGCGAAGAAUAUGACCAUAAUGCAAAAAUAUCUUCAAGUGAAUCUUAUUCUGUACAGUUAGUAGAAAUAGAGCUGUUAGACGCUGUGUUGAAACGUCAUGUGUGUUAUAGCUUAUAGCAAGUUAUGACGACUGAUGUCGGCUUUUGAGAUACAUGGAUGUUAGCUCCAAAGGUUGCCCUUAAAUUCUGGAGCUCCCGGCUCAUCUAACUCAGAGCCAAAUGACAGCGAGGAGUCUGAUCUGAGACCUGCAGAACUCUAGCACCGCCUGGCGCAUACCCUCCAAUGAAUCUGAACUAAGACCUGUAUAACUUUGGAUUUUUUUUGAGCCGUGACUCGUGAGGUCCUGAGAGAGUCGCUGCUUUUAGUGGGUGCUGCUUUCAGCAGGGGUGUGGUGUCUUGGUAAGACGGAGGUGCUCAACUUUUAACCGUCUUCCCGAGAAGAUUUUGUCGUUAAGACAAGCCAAGGUCGUUUUGCGUCUGCAAGGCUACAAGAUGCGUAGUUGUGCCAGUGCUUCUCUGGCAGUUCCAAAGAAGCUUCUGAGGGUGGAGGGGCAGGGAGGAGUAGCAGAUGAUGAUAAGAAAAGCCUUUGGAUGAUGGAGGUGGCGAGGCAGAGUCAGCAUCCUCAUUUGGGGGUUGAAGUUUAUGG